UCAGCAACUCCUUCCCCAGGGCAGCAGCUGUGUUGUGGAUGCUUGGUGCCUUUGAAGUGUCCCACAAGAGAAGCCACCAAGGAAUGGAUUCGCAGUUGGUUUGCACAGAGAACUCAAUCUGUUUCCUUGCAGCUUGUUCUGAAGCUGACAUUGUGUGCCAUACACGCUUGUCUUGGGCAAACGUCCUUUCAAUACAGCCGAGGGAUGAAGAUCAAGGCAGAGAACAAACAGUCCCGCUGAGCUGGAGCUGUGACCCCCCGGUGUGCGAGCAGCCAUCAUGCCAACCCCUGGCUGUCAUCCCCAUGUUGAGAGGUUUGUCCUAGACAAACCCUGGAGUAGGUUCCCUUGAGUCAGGGCAACUUUAGUCUUCUAUUGAGUGAACCAAGUUCCUCUGCUUGCACAGUCCUUGGUGCCCAUCCUGUGCCUUCCGCGCAGCUCUGAUCCACGCGGCUGCGUAAUCGCACCACGAUGCACUGGGGUUACAGAACGGAACAUCCUGGCCUUGCCGUGAUAAGGUUUGUCCACCCCUGGAGGAUCAUGGGGUGGGAGCUCCCCUGGGUUCAGAGCAUGUGGAUGUUCUCCUUAACCAGGUCCCAGGGCCAGGAAGUAAUGUGGUGUUCAUAAAACACCUCUGCAGCACCACAGACACACUGCAGUGGAGACCUGUGCACCUGGCAGCGUGGCAGAGACUUCAGCGUGGCAGAGACUUUCUGUCUGUGAAACAAAACCUUGUGAAGGAGGAAAGCUCAUGCACGGAAUGGAGGAACUACUGUCGAAGUGUGGGAGCUGUUCUGUGAGCAUAACGCUCUGCAAGGACUACCUCAGGACUUGCAGGCCUCAAGCAGAUAAAGUUUAAGCUGACAAGUCCCCUCAGGACUUAGCAGCUUUCUACCUUCCUGCCCUUGAUCAGCCUGUUAGGAUGCUGUUGCUGUCUGCGAGCUGCUUUGUGGCUGCAGCAGUCUCAUGGCGAGGGGGCAGGAGCAGGAUUCCCCUCCUUGUCCCCUGGCCCUGUCUCCAGGUGUAGCUGUCCGUGAGGCUGGGGCAGCGCUGGGGGCAGCGGCUCCCCCCAACAUCGACAUUGCUGCCGCGUCCUUCCCUCCGAGCUGGAAGGUGACAGUCGCGACAACAGCCGGGGAGCAGGGACAAGCAGCUGGGCUUUGGCAAGUGGCAGGGCAGUGCAGGGGUUGCUUUCAUGCAGGCCAUAAGGAAAGGAGCUCUCCCAGUACAAAGGGAGUUUAAAAUGUCUCCAUUAAAGUGCUCCCGGCAGCCCAGAGCUCUCCAGCCCGUACCUCCGGGCUGGCGGCACUUGCUGGCAGCCUGUUGCCCUCGGAGCGGAGCUAGGUGCCUUCUGUCCCCUCUAUUCUCUCUGAGGGCACCUCCCCGCUGCUCGGGUCUGAGUGAGCCUGGGGUCACUCCCACCUCAGGCCUCUUUUCCCUUCCCUUUCCAGCUCCUUAAACAACAGAGGUGCUGAGGGAAUUUAUACCUCUGCCUGGUAACAAGACAGAUCAGUGAGACGCUGUCACAGUUUUGUGAGGGCUCCAUAGAUUUUUAUGGCUUUUCAGUCCUUGGGUUCCCAACCUUCCUUUGGCUUGUAAAUUGCCCACAAAAUGCAGACACAGCUCCUAUUCUGUGAGCUCCUUUGAUGAUUUUAUUUAUAUCUCUUGCUUUGUCUUGUCUUUUAUUACAGGGAGACUGCAAUUAAUUAUUAUCCCAUCAGCUUCUAUUUAGGCUGACAGUACAAUGCAACACAGUGUCCAACCUUCCCCUGCCUCUGUGUGCACAAGUGGGCAGCUAUUCUCGAGAAGAACAAAGGCGCUGGCAGUUUUAGAAAGGGACAUGCUGCUAAAGGGCAGCUUAAGGGAGUUCAAUAGCACCAGCAGAGCAUAGUUGUGACCAGGCGUCCCGAGUUAGUUAUGAUGCUCCUGAUUUUACCUUCUCAUCCAAAGAUUGUCACUCGUUGAGCAGGUGUAGGCUCAUGAUGGUAAUUUCAGGACCCCUUUCCUAUCCAGCCUUUGACACUGGAUUCUGUAUGGGGAAUAUCAAUUUUCUCUCCUGGCUGUUCUGCCACUAGAAAACCUGCAAAACUGUUUUCACUCUUUCCUUUUUCUUCGCGUCUUGCAAAAAGGUUUAUUUGUCCUACAGGCCCAUGGAUGGCAUGACACUGUUGCUGAGCAGUGCUGGUGAUAAGCUAAAGAUGUUUUGACAAAAUUCAGUGCCAGUUUUUGGCAGUGUAGCUCUGACUCCGACCUCCUCAGACCAGCUAAUGACAACGAAGCAAAGCCUCUGUGCCAACAUUCUGAUGGAAAUGUCAAUGUAAUGCUUCUACAGCGGUGUCCUCUCCGCUUCUCCCCAGCAGAGUCCACUCCCAGAUCCUUUGGAAGAAGCUGCAAGAUAAACCCCAUGUGGGCUGUGGUGCCAUAAGUUCAGAGAGACAUUUCUUGCUCCUGUCCUCCACAAAUGACAUGUGCUCACUAGCCCAUGCCGCUACCAGCAGUUAGCUGGUUUAAGUUUUGGAGUCCAAGCUAAUGUAGCUCUGGGGCUCUGUGGGAAACGAAGGGCAUGUCUGGGCGGGGAGGCCAGGCAGACUGAGCUGGCUCUGCCAUUGCUAAUGCCAGAAUGGAAGUGCCGGGAACUGCGGGGCUGAGAUGCUGAGUUGGCUCAAGCUUAGGACGGUCUAUGUUCACCCCACUUAAUUAGCCUUCCUGAGAGAGCACAUUCACUGGCUUGGGUGCAGUUCUGCUCAGGUGUUCUAAUCUCCUCCUGAAAGUGAGCGUGGAUGAUCUUGCAACCCUGUUCUGUGUUGUGAGAACUUAGCUCUGCUCUGCAUUGCUUCAGGUCUCUUUCUCCCAUGCUUAGAAGAUGAAGCCAAAGGUAAGAGCAGUAACUCUGUGACUGAUUCCACAUCACCCAUUUAGAAACCUUGACUAGGUGGUCAAGUGAGUUGUUCUUCCCUCCUCCACCCCAGCUGCAUCCCAGAUACAGUCCUACUGACUGUGAUUACUGUGAUAAAAUUGCAACUAAACCCUGUCAGCUCUGAAGCAGGAAUGAUGAGGGUUGGUCUUUACAUCAGACAUGUAAUUACCUGUCUACAAAACCAUGAAAAUGUGCAAGGGAAAAAAGAGGGAAAAGCAAGAUCUCUGUCAAAUGAGAGAAAACCUAUCAUUUGCCCCUUUUUUUCUGUUUUGUUUUUGUUUUCCUCCAUUCACAGUAAUACAUAGCUGGGCUUAAUCCAGCUAGGAACCUGCUCAGAGGUCACACUGCCUGGUAAGCUACCUUGUGGCUGCUGGCCCUCCAACCUGCUCAGAACAUAGGGCUUCUUGUUUGAAAACCCUGGAGAAACUCAAGUUUGCAAGAUUUUAAAAUCAGAAAAAUCCCAUUUCCUGCAUAAGAUCUUUUUUAUGGUAAAUGAAUACUGAAUUGCAAUCAGAAUGCCACUACUAUUUGUUAAAUGCAAGUUGCUUAAAUAGUUCAUUUUUCUUACUAAUUAUACAGUACGUGGUUAGCUUCAAUGAUCACAUGUAAUUAAAGGGGAACGGUUUCUGCAGCAUUGUCAUGACUUUGACAGUGCUGAUAGAGAAGAGGCCAAUAUUUCCUGGUAGUCUACAGAUUAUGUGCUAAUUAGGGGGUUUACAUGGAGUGGUAUGUGUAUCCUCUGCUUGGAGCC